ensembl:lncRNA
GAUCUAACCAUGCAAAAUAUGACUUUUUACAAUUUUUUCAAGUGGUCUUAAACUUUUGAGGUCUGAAUUGACAUAAAUAAAACAUGCAUGAUUUGAUGUUACACGGUGAUGUAUUUGUUGGGAUUUCUCUAAAUAACUCUUUUUUUUUUUUUUUUUUAAAUUCGUGUUUCAGGUGAAUUAUGAGGUAUUUGUGUGGCAGAGGGAGAAAAGGUGUGAAUCUCUGAUUCACCGACAAGAGUUUUUACCUGAAGCAUGUCCUUAUCAGCAUCAGCAGCAGGAGGCGGCGGUUCCUUCUCCACCUCCUUUUUUCUCAUGACUCAUGUCUUCCUCUUUUGUCUUCUUAGAAACACUUUUAUGCCCUUUGUUGGAGUGCUUUAACCACCACCAUGAUGUUAAGUUAUAGAUGGAUGCUGCGCUGUGAUUGGCGUUUAAGAUUAAGAUAUAUUGAUCAGACACAGAAAGAGGUGUUUCAGAUGUGACUUUGCCUGUAAGAAACAGAUAUCCGAAAAAUCCUGUCCUGAAAAUAAAACAUUUAGUUUACGAAUGAUUGAAAAAAAGUUUAACAACAGACCAACGACUCACAUGACUGCAGGUAAGAAACACUUAAGAAAGAUCAAUUUGGUUUGGUAUAAAACAGUGAUUUUACAUGGUUUUACUCUGGUUUAAGGACGUUUGACAACAGUGUAGAAAAACCGUCUCUCAACUAAAACUGAAUCAGACAAUUUGGGAACACCAAAACAGCAAAGAUGGCUGGUCUCUGGUGGAUCACUGUGACGAUGGUCUUCUGUCUGUCUGCUGGAAGUUUGGCUGAAAUAGACCAAAAGCUGCUCGCGACACUCAUAUGUCAUCUAACGAAAACAGUCAGAAAAGAGUACAAGAUAUAUUCAAUGUAUGCCGUGGCCUUAAGCAUUCCGAACUAUGCAAACCAAGUCAAAUAUGACCUACAAAGGGUGACACCAAACCUACAGACACAAGUCAAUGACGGCAUCCUCAGCACUCCUAGACUUGUGGUAGCUUCAAUAAAAGAUGUAACGAAUAACAACGGGAAUUUUCUAUAUACUGAACAUGCAGAGUGGCGUGUUCUGCAGAAUCUUAAUCUUGUAGGUAACCAUGGUGAUUUGUUGGUCUUCUUCUCUUACGCCAAUCCAUGUUUAUCAAGCUGUGCAAAUCCAAAUGGAAACUACAAGAUCACUGGUGAGCUCAGACGUCUCUUUAAUAGAACUGUGUGGGGUGAAAAGG